rnacentral:rRNA from 1 species
AGCAACCCGGAGAACUGAAACAUCUAAGUACCCGGAGGAGAAGAAAACAAAAGUGAUCCCGAUAGUAGCGGCGAGCGAAAUUGGAUUAGCCCAAACCAGUGUUGUUACGGCAAUACUGGGGUUGUAGGACCACGACAUUAGAAGCAUGAUGAAUUAGAACCCUUUGGAAAGAGGGGCCAUAGACGGUGAUAGCCCGGUAUAAGUAAAGAAUGUGGACAUAGUGGUAUCCUGAGUAGUGCGGGGCACGUGAAACCCUGUAUGAAACAGUCGGGACCAUCCGAUAAGGCUAAAUACUCCUGAGAGACCGAUAGUGAACUAGUACCGUGAGGGAAAGGUGAAAAGAACCCUGAAUAAGGGAGUGAAAUAGAACCUGAAACCAUACGCUUACAAGCGGUCGGAGCAGACUUGAUCUGUGACGACGUGCCUUUUGCAUAAUGAGCCUACGAGUUACCGUUGCUAGCAAGGUUAAGCACUUCAGGUGCGGAUCCGUAGCGAAAGCGAGUCUGAAUAGGGCGCUUAGUUAGUAGUGGUAGACGCGAAACCGUGUGAUCUACCCAUGGGCAGGUUGGAGCAGUAGUAACAUACUGUGGAGGACCGAACGGAUAUACGUUGAAAAGUGUUCCGAUGACCUGUGGGUAGGGGUGAA